GGCCAUUUAGCUCAGUGGUUAGAGCUGGUGGUUCACAACCGCUUUGUCGCUGAUUCAAAUCCAGCAAUGUUUACCA
rnacentral:tRNA from 2 species